rnacentral:misc_RNA from 1 species
AAAAUGCGAUACGUAAUGCGAAUUGCAGAAUUCAGUGAAUCAUCAAAUCUUUGAACGCAAAUUGCGCUCUCGGGAUAGGCCUGGGAGCACGCCUCUUUGAGUAUCGAUUCCACCACAACUCGGAAGCGUGCAUUUUUCGAAGUGCACUGCUGACGGAAAAUGAGCGUUCUCGUGUUUUCAACUCGAGAUGCUUUAAAUGAAGCGAGUGGCACGAUUUCUAACUCGAAAUCGAAUUUGUCUCUAGUGACGAGGAUAACUUCACAUUCACUUGUGAACCCUUCCAUCGUGACUAUUGAGAUAGAUGACGUUUCGUGGCUAGUUGUCAAUGUGACACGGUCCUCUCUGGCUUCUGUUAUCAGACGUCAGAGAAUACUUUUGAACUAGAUCUCAAAUGAAGCGA